AGCAUUAAUCUCAACUAAAUGGAGUACUUCCAAUAUACUCGCUUCAAAGUUUGAAUUUCAGGACUUGUUAAUGAACGGGUUGAGGAUUACAAUGGAUACAACG